GAAUUUACAAAUAUAGCCUCUCUUUCGGAUUGGGACCCACACGCUCUGCUAGUAUUUGCUUCCGAUUCCAAGGAUAGCUUCAAUAAUGGGCUUCCAUGCCCCAAGACCAUCUUCUCUUCUAAAACCCUAAAUUUACCAUACCCAUCUCGAAAUCUCUCAACACUAUGCUAUGCCGGUACUUCAGCUCUCUUCCAGGGCUCCGAAACUUAUCAAAAAUUCCUUCAAAGUAUAGGCCCAAAGCAAUCCGUGAAGCUCAGCAGGCUCUCACAGACUACCUCCACUCCACGAGGUUAUUGCCGUUCGCCUACGCCGAGCACAUUAGCAAGAAUUCCCUCGUCUCUCUUUCCAAUCUCAUUGCCAGCAUUGACUUCUCGGCCUCUGAUUUCUCCAGGUCCGUGAGAAAAUUCCUCAGGUACCAUCCCAUCAACGAAUUCGAGUUCUUUUAUGAAAGCAUUGGUAUCGAUUACAAUGAGGUUCACGGGUUUUUGCCCACAAAAAAUUUUUUCUUUUCUGAGGAUGGAAGUGUGUUAAGUGCAGCUUGUGCGCUUGCUGGGUUUGGGUUUCCAUGGAACAAGUUAGGCAACUUGUAUAAGGAGGAGAGUUCUAUUUUUAGUAGAGGUUCGGAGGAGUUAUCCUCUAGGCUUGAUGGGUUUAGGGAAUAUGGAUUUAGUAAUAUUUCAGUGAUUGGUAUUUGUCUGGCUUUUCCUUACGUGUUGAGUGGUGAAUUGGUUGGGGAAAUUGAUGCUUUAUUUGAUGAUAUGAAAAGGUUCUUUUUAGACUUCGAUAUGGGGAGUUGCGUUGAAGGAAAUGUGGAUGCUUGGUAUGAGAUUUGUAUGAAAAUUCGGGUGUUCUAUGAUUUGGGUUUUGAGAAGGGGAAGCUAGGGGAUUUGAUAGGUAAGAGUAAAAGCAUUUUUGUCGAUUAUCCAGUGAAGGUUUUUGUGCAAAAGGCUGAGUUUUUUGGUAGAUUUGGUGUUAGAAAUGAAGAUGUUGGCCUGUUGCUAAUUCAGAGACCGGAAAUUUGGAAUUAUGAUAUGGAAAAGCCCUUGAUUUCAGUUAAAGGAUUACUUAAACAUUUUGGAUUUAGUGAUGAAGAGGUAAUAGUUAUUGCCCACAAGUACCCUCAUGUAUUGGGCAGAAAUAAAAUGGCAAAUUUACCUCACGUGAUGAGAGCUAUGGAUUUGCAUGUGUGGUUUUUCAAUAAAAUCAAGGAUGGAAAUCAUCAAUUAAUAGCUAGUUAUGCAAUGAGAGACCCUGAUGAAGAUUUGGAUAAAGAAUUUAGUGAUAGCUUGGAGAGGAUUCGAGUUUCGAGAACCCCUACUCAUACAAUGUACAAAGUGGAUUUUUUGCUUGGAAUUGGAUUUGGAGAAAAUGCUUUAACUGCCAAGGUCUUGGCCCAUAUGCAUGGUACUAGUAGUGAACUGCAGGAGCGAUUUGAUUGCCUUCUUCAUUUGGGGAUUGCAUUCUCGAAGCUCUGUAUGAUGAUAAGAACGAUGCCAAAGAUCCUAAACCAAAAGCCAGAAAUGCUAGAGCAGAAAGUGAACUUCCUCUGCCAGGAUUUGGGAUCCUCAUUGCAGGAACUGGAUAUAUUUCCAGCAUAUCUGUGUUUUAAUUUGGAGAGCCGAAUUAAACCCAGGUGCAGAUUCCAUAUGUGGCUUACAGAUAAAGGUUUGUGUACACGUAAGUACUCCAUGGCAAGUAUUGUUGCAACUAGCGAAAAAAAUUUUGUAGCUCGCAUUUAUGGAAUUCACCCAGCUGCUCUAAAACAUUGGUUUGAAUGUUUCUCAUACUAAACACCAGUUGAUGAAUGAAAAGUGCAUUAGACACUGAUUUGGUCAAUGCAGCUUAUUAGCACUUCAGUGUGGACAGGGAAUUUGUUUGUUACAAUUAUGGAAUCAGUAUAUAGAAAUUUAUCAUUUAAACCUUCCUGGAUUGACAUAUUGUAUAUUUAGAUUUAUUAAUAGCCAUGACUGGUGCAAGAAAUGUUUUCCAUGGAUCCUCCUUCCUGGCCUUUGUGGCACUGUAUGUAUCGGUUCCUAUAUCAAGCUAUAUCCUUACAAAACUCAUACCAAUUUUGAGCAGCAGCUGGCCAUGCUUCUGAUAUUGCAAGCAGUUUGUCAUAAUGGCAAUGAUAAAACCUUCAAGACAGAUUCACCUCUUUAAAGUUAAACAACAACUAGCAUAGACUGACGACAGUUAUUACAUGGGCCUAUUUGUGUCCUCAUAGCUAUUUUAUUUUUGCUUGAUGUGUGUGUUGGCUGCAACUCUGCAUGUGAGAUCGAUUGGUUUGAUUAUUUAUUUUUAAUUUUUAAUUUAAAAUAUAUUUUUUAAUUUAUA
rnacentral:misc_RNA from 1 species